rnacentral:rRNA from 1 species
UACGUAGGUGGCAAGCGUUGUCCGGAAUUAUUGGGCGUAAAGCGCGCGCAGGCGGCCUCUUAAGUCUGAUGUGAAAUCUUGCGGCUCAACCGCAAGCGGCCAUUGGAAACUGGGGGGGCUUGAGUACAGAAGAGGAGAGUGGAAUUCCACGUGUAGCGGUGAAAUGCGUAGAUAUGUGGAGGAACACCAGUGGCGAAGGCGACUCUCUGGUCUGUAACUGACGCUGAGGCGCGAAAGCGUGGGGAGCAAACAGG